GUGGCUGAGGGGCGGGAUUAAAGAGCUGAGGUCUAUGGUGAUAGGUGGGAUGGGCUGAGAGUGGCUGAGGGGCGGGAUUAAAGAGCUGAGGUCUAUGGUGAUAGGUGGGAUGGGCUGAGAGUGGCUGAGGGGUGGGAUGAAAGAGCUGAGGUCUGGGAUUAAAGAGCUGAGGUCUAUGGUGAUAGGUGGGAUGGGCUGAGAGUGGCUGAGGGGCGGGAUUAAAGAGCUGAGGUCUAUGGUGAUAGGUGGGAUGGGCUGAGAGGGGUGGGAUUAAAGAGCUGAGGUCUAUGGUGAUAGGUGGGAUGGGCUGAGUGUGGUGGGAUUAAAGAGCUGAGGUCUACGGUGAUAGGUGGGAUGGGCUGAG